rnacentral:rRNA from 1 species
GUUAUAUGGUCAAGUGAAGAAGCGCAUACGGUGGAUGCCUUGGCAGUCAGAGGCGAUGAAAGACGUGGUAGCCUGCGAAAAGCUUCGGGGAGUCGGCAAACAGACUGUGAUCCGGAGAUGUCUGAAUGGGGGAACCCAGCCAUCAUAAGAUGGUUAUCUUGUACUGAAUACAUAGGUGCAAGAGGCGAACCAGGGGAACUGAAACAUCUAAGUACCCUGAGGAAAAGAAAUCAACCGAGAUUCCCUUAGUAGUGGCGAGCGAACGGGGACCAGCCCUUAAGUUGUAUUGAGAUUAGCGGAACGUUCUGGAAAGGACGGCCAUAGUGGGUGAUAGCCCUGUACGCGAAAAUCCCUUUGCAAUGAAAUCGAGUAGGACGGGGCACGAGAAACCUUGUCUGNACCAUCAUAAGAUGGUUAUCUUGUACUGAAUACAUAGGUGCAAGAAGCGAACCAGGGGAACUGAAACAUCUAAGUACCCUGAGGAAAAGAAAUCAACCGAGAUUCCCUUAGUAGUGGCGAGCGAACGGGGACCAGCCCUUAAGUUGUAUUGAGAUUAGCGGAACACUCUGGAAAGGGUGGCCAUAGUGGGUGAUAGCCCUGUACGCGAAAAUCCCUUUGCAAUGAAAUCGAGUAGGACGGGGCACGAGAAACCUUGUCUGAAUAUGGGGGGACCAUCCUCCAAGGCUAAAUACUACUGACUGACCGAUAGUGAACCAGUACCGUGAGGGAAAGGCGAAAAGAACCGCGGAGAGCGGAGUGAAAUAGAUCCUGAAACCGUAUGCGUACAAGCAGUGGGAGCCCACUUUGUUGGGUGACUGCGUACCUUUUGUAUAAUGGGUCAGCGACUUAUUUUCAGUGGCGAGCUUAACCGAAUAGGGGAGGCGUAGCGAAAGCGAGUCUUAAUAGGGCGUCUAGUCGCUGGGAAUAGACCCGAAACCGGGCGAUCUAUCCAUGGGCAGGUUGAAGGUUGGGUAACACUAACUGGAGGACCGAACCGACUACCGUUGAAAAGUUAGCGGAUGACCUGUGGAUCGGAGUGAAAGGCUAAUCAAGCUCGGAGAUAGCUGGUUCUCCUCGAAAGCUAUUUAGGUAGCGCCUCAUGUAUCACUGUAGGGGGUAGAGCACUGUUUCGGCUAGGGGGUCAUCCCGACUUACCAAACCGAUGCAAACUCCGAAUACCUACAAGUGCCGAGCAUGGGAGACACACGGCGGGUGCUAACGUCCGUCGUGAAAAGGGAAACAACCCAGACCGUCAGCUAAGGUCCCAAAGUCAUGGUUAAGUGGGAAACGAUGUGGGAAGGCUUAGACAGCUAGGAGGUUGGCUUAGAAGCAGCCACCCUUUAAAGAAAGCGUAAUAGCUCACUAGUCGAGUCGGCCUGCGCGGAAGAUGUAACGGGGCUCAAACCAUGCACCGAAGCUACGGGUAUCAUCUUUUGAUGAUGCGGUAGAGGAGCGUUCUGUAAGCCUGUGAAGGUGAGUUGAGAAGCUUGCUGGAGGUAUCAGAAGUGCGAAUGCUGACAUGAGUAACGACAAUGGGUGUGAAAAACACCCACGCCGAAAGACCAAGGUUUCCUGCGCAACGUUAAUCGACGCAGGGUUAGUCGGUCCCUAAGGCGAGGCUGAAAAGCGUAGUCGAUGGAAAACAGGUUAAUAUUCCUGUACUUCUGGUUAUUGCGAUGGAGGGACGGAGAAGGCUAGGCCAGCCUGGCGUUGGUUGUCCAGGUUUAAGGUGGUAGGCUGAGAUCUUAGGUAAAUCCGGGAUCUCAAGGCCGAGAGCUGAUGACGAGUGUUCUUUAGAACACGAAGUGGUUGAUGCCAUGCUUCCAAGAAAAGCUUCUAAGCUUCAGGUAACCAGGAACCGUACCCCAAACCGACACAGGUGGUUGGGUAGAGAAUACCAAGGCGCUUGAGAGAACUCGGGUGAAGGAACUAGGCAAAAUGGCACCGUAACUUCGGGAGAAGGUGCGCCGGUGAGGGUGAAGCAUUUACUGCGUAAGCCCACGCCGGUCGAAGAUACCAGGCCGCUGCGACUGUUUAUUAAAAACACAGCACUCUGCAAACACGAAAGUGGACGUAUAGGGUGUGACGCCUGCCCGGUGCCGGAAGGUUAAUUGAUGGGGUUAGCGCAAGCGAAGCUCUUGAUCGAAGCCCCGGUAAACGGCGGCCGUAACUAUAACGGUCCUAAGGUAGCGAAAUUCCUUGUCGGGUAAGUUCCGACCUGCACGAAUGGCGUAACGAUGGCGGCGCUGUCUCCACCCGAGACUCAGUGAAAUUGAAAUCGCUGUGAAGAUGCAGUGUAUCCGCGGCUAGACGGAAAGACCCCGUGAACCUUUACUAUAGCUUUGCACUGGACUUUGAAUUUGCUUGUGUAGGAUAGGUGGGAGGCUUUGAAGCGUGGACGCCAGUCUGCGUGGAGCCAACCUUGAAAUACCACCCUGGCAACUUUGAGGUUCUAACUCAGGUCCGUUAUCCGGAUCGAGGACAGUGUAUGGUGGGUAGUUUGACUGGGGCGGUCUCCUCCUAAAGAGUAACGGAGGAGUACGAAGGUGCGCUCAGACCGGUCGGAAAUCGGUCGUAGAGUAUAAAGGCAAAAGCGCGCUUGACUGCGAGACAGACACGUCGAGCAGGUACGAAAGUAGGUCUUAGUGAUCCGGUGGUUCUGUAUGGAAGGGCCAUCGCUCAACGGAUAAAAGGUACUCCGGGGAUAACAGGCUGAUACCGCCCAAGAGUUCAUAUCGACGGCGGUGUUUGGCACCUCGAUGUCGGCUCAUCACAUCCUGGGGCUGAAGCCGGUCCCAAGGGUAUGGCUGUUCGCCAUUUAAAGUGGUACGCGAGCUGGGUUUAGAACGUCGUGAGACAGUUCGGUCCCUAUCUGCCGUGGACGUUUGAGAUUUGAGAGGGGCUGCUCCUAGUACGAGAGGACCGGAGUGGACGAACCUCUGGUGUUCCGGUUGUCACGCCAGUGGCAUUGCCGGGUAGCUAUGUUCGGAAAAGAUAACCGCUGAAAGCAUCUAAGCGGGAAACUUGCCUCAAGAUGAGAUCUCACUGGAACCUUGAGUUCCCUAAAGGGCCGUCGAAGACUACGACGUUGAUAGGUUGGGUGUGUAAGCGCUGUGAGGCGUUGAGCUAACCAAUACUAAUUGCCCGUGAGGCUUGACCAUAUAACACCCAAGCAAUU